rnacentral:rRNA from 1 species
CGCUUACAGAGGGAUGCGAGGCGGCGACGCGGAGCGAAUCCCGAAAAAGGCGUCCCAGUUCGGAUUGCGGCCUGCAACUCGGCCGCAUGAAGCCGGAAUCGCUAGUAAUCGCGGAUCAGAACGCCGCGGUGAAUACGUUCCCGGGUCUUGUACACACCGCCCGUCACACCAUGGGAGCGGGUAACGCCCGAAGUCGGUGACCUAACUGAAAAGAAGGAGCCGCCGAAGGCAGGACCCGUGACUGGGGUGAAGUCGUAACAAGGUAGC